UACGAGGGGGGCAAGCGUUGUUCGGAAUUAUUGGGCGUAAAGGGCGCGUAGGCGGUGCGGUAAGUCUCAUGUGAAAUCUCCGGGCUCAACUCGGAGCCUGCAUGAGAAACUGUCGUGCUAGAGUGUGGAAGAGGUGAGUGGAAUUCCCGGUGUAGCGGUGAAAUGCGUAGAUAUCUGGAGGAACACCGGUGGCGAAGGUGGCAUCCUGGACCGGCACUGACGCUGAGGAGCGAAAGCCAGGGGAGCAAACGGG
rnacentral:rRNA from 1 species